CCUCUUUCAUAUAUUAGUAAAACUUUUCAUUCUUAUAAAAUAAAGUGAAAUUUGUAGUUCAAGUUCUUUUUAUACAUGGGAAGUUUCUAGUAACAUUCAUGGAAAUGGAAUAAUGCAUGUAAAAGUUUUCCAAAUGGUGUGAGACUCACUUUACAAGUCCUUCUCUGGUUUGACACCUAACAUUCAUGGAACUAAGCAGAAUUAUUAAUAAAGACAAACAAAAGAAACUAGCCAGGAAGCUUCCCACAUAUUCUUAAUGGUAUUGCCAAAGACUUAAAAUCCAUCAAACAAAAUAAAGCUGAAUGCUCUGAGCUAUACUUAUAUAUGUACACACAACAUAUAUAUCAUUCAAACUCUUCUUAUUUGCUACAGAGAAAGUUUUUUCAUUCAUUACUCCAAUUCCUCAAUUUUGUCUACACCAAAAAACACUAUGGCUGCAGAACUAAUAGAAGGAGCUUUACUCUCUGCUUCUCUUGAGGUUUUGUUUGAAAAGAUGGCUUCUGGGGAUGUCUAUGAAUUCAUCCGGAGAAUAAAAACUUCAAGAUUGUUUGCUCAAGAAGUUGAAGAAUAAGCUGCUGUCAGCUAACUCAGUGCUGAAUGAUGGCGAGGAGAAGCAAAUAAAAAACAAAGCUGUGAGGGAGUGGCUUGCUGUCGCUGAGCUCGAGGAAGCAAUCUAUGAUGCAGAGGACUCAGUGGAUGAGAUCCAGAGUGAAGCUUUGCGAUGGAAGAUUGAUGGUGAAUCUGGAAGCAGCUCACAUCGGGUACUGAACUUCAUCUCAACUUCCUUUUCUGCAUUUAACUAACAUGAUGUAGAGUGGAGAUGGAGGAAAUCCUUGAUAGAUUGGAAUUCAUUUUGCAAUAAAAGGAUUUCCAUGGCCUCAAAGUAGGUGUUCAAAACACAACUACAUGAAGAACACCUUGCAACUUCUUUAGUAGAAGAAUCUGGUGUGUAUGGCAGGGAUAAUGACAAAGAAGCCAUCCAAAUGAAAUCAUUUUAAAAUGGUAGGCAUUUCAACAUCUUUCCUGCCUUACAUUUUAAAAUUCCAUUAUUCCAAGAGCUCCAGUACUUGCCUGAAGAAGGUCUUCCAGCUUCUCUUUCACAUUUGGAUACUGGUAUCUUUCCUUUGUUAAGUCGAAGUCGCCAAGGGAAAGAUUGGCCCAAGAUUGCUCACAUUCCUUAUGUUUAUACAGAUCAUCCAUAUUCAGAUUUUCCAGGGAUAGACAUGUCCAUUUUCCGUAAAAAUGUUCGGCUCAUGUCCUCACUCUGGCAUAGCCCUAAUUCUGGAUAGAUGGGAACAAAUAUGAAAAGCGAUUUGUUAUUAUGUACCAUUUGAAAUGAUGGAGAGAAAAGGAAAAAGGGUCUCUGCUUUAAUUGUGAAAAAAGAUUCACUUUAGAACAUCGAUGCAAGUCCAAGUUGGCCAUCCUAAAGUUAUGCUGUCGGUCUAUUACAAACUUCCUCACCAUUUCAACUAGCUUGUAAUGAGGUUUCAUUUCCAAGUUCUCUCAGCUGCAACUUGCACAGCUGGAAUCAAAAUUUAGCUAUUCAAUAUUGGAAAGCUUUAUGGUUUUGAGAUUUGCUUCUAGCUCUUCUUGACCAUUUUAGUGUUCAGCAAUUCGACUUUUAGCUCUGGUAUAUUGCAGUAAGCAUCCCCUGCAUAACCAAAUUUAUUUUACAUAUGUUCAAGUUUCCAAAGAUGGUCUUUCUCAAUUCAUUCAGGUAAAAACCAGAAAUUACACAAUAAUAAUGAAAAGAUGUAUAUUUUAUACCACCUUCAAUCAAUUUUUCUGUUGGAAUUUAUAGGAACAUUUGAAGCACAUCACAACAUUGUACUGCAAAUCAUAAUUAAGCUCUUGCCCUUUUUAAGAUAUUGUUCUCAGUAUCCUUAUAGAAUCAGGAAGUGACACAAUCUUUGUUCGAGAUUCAAUUUGCCAUAUAAUAGUGGUUUCAAGGCCUCUCUUCCUUGUAUGCAGAUUUGUACAUAUUCCUUUUAUUUUUUUUAUAAUAAUUCAUUUCAUUCUUUAUUUUUUUCCAUUGGUGGUUACGUGUUGGUGAAUCUACUGUAUCAUGCCGCUCUUGACCAAUUAAAUUUCAGUUCAGGUUCAACCACAUUUUUGGCUUGGUAUUGAUCUUCUUCAAAGUCAGUUAAUGUGCGGGGGAAUCUCUUCUUUACAUUCAAAAAUUUUCUUUCCUCUGUAAUAAAACAUGAUUUUGUAUUCUUUGCUAACUAAGCGUAUGCAUAAUGUAAAUUAUGCAAUUACAUAGGUAUGCCUAAAGGGUAUCAAUAGAACAGAAAGUUUU